UACGGAGGGUGCAAGCGUUAUACGGAUUUACUGGGUUUAAAGGGUGUGUAGGCGGACUUUUAAGUCAGGGGUGAAAUCCCGAGGCUCAACCUCGGAACUGCCUUUGAUACUAUUGGUCUUGAAUGUUGUUGAGGUGGGCGGAACGGGUCAUGUAGCGGUGAAAUGCAUAGAUAUGACCCGGAACACCGAUUGCGAAGGCAGCCCGCUAAGCAACUAUUGACGCUGAGGCACGAAAGCGUGGGGAUCAAACAGG
rnacentral:rRNA from 1 species